rnacentral:lncRNA from 1 species
CACGUGCUGGCGGUGGCGGCCGUAGCGUCGACGCUGUCGGUCGGGUUGGCCCUCAAAAACUUGUUUUGCCAUGAGCGAAAGUUGUACUUGCCGUUAUCCAGUCGGAUGGCCGUCCACUGCUCCCAGGCCUGGAUCGAGGUGGCGGCGGCCGACACGCCGCUAUAACUGUGCGCCGUCAGGUACUUGCCGCUCACCGACGAGCGCAGGCCGACGACGGGCGACACGGGAUGGGUGUACUCGAUGAGGGCGCCGCCAGCAGCGCCGUUGCUGUCGGCAUAGAGGCGGGUCGGGUAGCACAAGUAGGCCGAGCCGCCGCCCGAUCCACUGUUGGGCGGCGGCGACUUGGGCACCGCCGUCUGCGAGUCACCGCCGUUGCCGUUAAAGCCGGCCGCACCGCCGGAACCGUAGCACGGGAUCACCACCUGACCCUGGCCGCCGGCCCACUGGCGGUUGGGCGACGUCCACCCGGCACCCACGGUAAAGGGCAUUGACAGUGUGUCGUAGGCAUAACCAUAGCCGGCACCGGCACCGCCGGCCUUGACGUCGCCGAUCGUGGCGCCCUCCUGCGGUGCGGCCAACGGGUUGUCGUCGGCGGCGCCUCUGGGACUGCCGCCACCCGGAUAGGUGCCUAUAGCGCCCGAGGUGGCACCACCGCCGGCACCGCCCUGACAUCCGCGUCGGGUCGUGGUGAUGAUCGAAUAGCCGCCGCCGCCGCCAUAGGCCGCCGCGCGGAACAACUCGGUGCCGUUGGGUGCAGUGGCAACCACGACCGUGUUGCCGCCGUUGCCCGCCGCGCCGCCAUAGGUGGGGCUGUUGAGGCCCCAUCCGCCGCCGCCCGUGACGAUCGACCAUUGGACCUGGUUGACAGGCACGGGCCAGGUGGCAUCACCCGCCGCGCGGAACAUGACCGCCGAGCCGCUGCCGCCGCCCGCCGUGCAAAAGCCCGUCGAUGAGCCGCCUCCGCCGCCGCCCCACAGGCUGACGACGACGUUGGUGGCGUUGGAGGGGAGGGACCACGUCUGCGACGCGCGAAAGAGCACCGAGUAGCGAUGGCCGUGGGCCGGACCCGCGGCGCAGCCGAGAAGCGCCACGAGGGCCAAGAAGACAGCCAGACGAUUCAUGGCAGAUUCUCGGGAUCGCUCGGCAGAGGACUGUUCUUUGUCAGGGGCAUCGCCAACUUGCGGGACCCGUUGGUCCGUCGACAAGUGUGCCGCUCACUGACCUCGUGUUGCCCGACGCAACCAAGAACCCAUUACGGAGGACCCAAUUCGAGUCUUUCGAGUCUCUUUCCGUGCAUCUGGUCACGUAGAUUGCGUGCUUUUUGCAGGUUUUUCGCCCACGCGCACACGCGCCAAAAAGCACGCUGCAACGACACCGAUUUUCUCUAGGGUUUUCCAUUUCCUAUUGUUUUAUCAUUUAAUUUUCUUUUUUUCCUGUGUCGUGGUCGCCUUUUGCGCAACACACCACAGAGAAUCACGUGAAAAAAAGAGUGCCGCCUGGCCGAUUUUUUGGUGUGCACCAUAAAAAAAAAGAGGCGAGGCGGCGUCGGCGCGGUCUCGCCCUCCUUUCAAAAAAG